GGGCAUGUGGUGUAGUUGGUUAUCACGCUCGCUUAGCAUGAGUUGCAUGUCUGCGAGAGGGGUCCGGUUCGAUCCCGGACAUGUCCA